CCUACGGGAGGCAGCAGUGGGGAAUAUUGGACAAUGGGGGCAACCCUGAUCCAGCCAUGCCGCGUGUGUGAAGAAGGCCCUCGGGUUGUAAAGCACUUUCAGUGAGGAAGAACGCCUGGUGGUUAAUACCCAGCAGGAAAGACAUCACUCACAGAAGAAGCACCGGCUAACUCCGUGCCAGCAGCCGCGGUAAUACGGAGGGUGCGAGCGUUAAUCGGAAUUACUGGGCGUAAAGCGCGCGUAGGUGGCUUGAUAAGCCGGUUGUGAAAGCCCCGGGCUCAACCUGGGAACGGCAUCCGGAACUGUCCAGCUAGAGUGCAGGAGAGGAAGGUAGAAUUCCCGGUGUAGCGGUGAAAUGCGUAGAGAUCGGGAGGAAUACCAGUGGCGAAGGCGGCCUUCUGGACUGACACUGACACUGAGGUGCGAAAGCGUGGGUAGCAAACAGGAUUAGAUACCCCGGUAGUC
rnacentral:rRNA from 1 species